rnacentral:rRNA from 1 species
AUUGAACGCUGGCGGCAGGCCUAACACAUGCAAGUCGAGCGGAGCGGCGGAGGGGUGCGUAAUGCCUAGGAAUAUGCCUGGUAGUGGUGGAUGACGACCGGAAACGGGCACUAAUACCGCAUACUAUCAGAUGAGACUGGGUCGGAUUAGCUAGUAGGUGGGGUAAAGGCCUACCAAGGCGACGAUCCGUAACUGGGCUGAGAGGAUGAGCAGCCAUACUGGAACGGAGACACGGUCCAGACUCCUACGGGAGGCAGCAGUGGGGAAUAUUGGACAAUGGGCGCAAUCCUGAUCCAGCCAUGCCGCGUGUGUGAAGAAGGUCUUCGGAUUGUAAAGCACUUUAAGUUGGGAGGCGUUACCAACAGAAUAAGCACCGGCUAACUUCGUGCCAGCAGCCGCGGUAAUAC